rnacentral:snRNA from 1 species
AAAAAGGGCAUCUGCUUUGAGUGGCACAGCGGCGGAGGGGUCUCUCUGAAGCCGCUGCGGAAUCGCUAUCAAGAGAUUUCGGGUGCAUAAUUUUUCAGACUCGGGGCUGCUAAUGACUUUCAUUCUUGGCGCCCCU